UCGAGAAUCAUUCGCAAUGGGCGAAAGCCUGACGGUGCGACGUCGCGUGGAGGAUGAAGGUCUUCGGAUUGUAAACUCCUGUCAUGAGGGAUAAAUGGCCAGGGCACGAAUAGUGCCUUGGAAUGAUAGUACCUCAGGAGGAAGAGACGGCUAAAUCUGUGCCCGCAGCCGCGGUAAUACAGAGGUCUCGAGCGUUGUUCGGGUUUACUGGGCGGAAAGGGAGCGUAGGCGGUUCGGUGUGUUGAAUGUGAAAUCCCACAACUCAACUGUGGAAUGGCAUUCAAAACUACCGGGCUAGAGUACUGGAGAGGAGAGCGGAAUUCGUGGUGUAGCGGUGAAAUGCGUAGAUAUCAAGAGGAACACCGGUGGCGAAGGCGGCUCUCUGGACAGAUACUGACGCUGAGGCUCUAAAGUUAGGGGAGCAAACA
rnacentral:rRNA from 1 species